UUUGCAAAUUUACUCUAGAAAACGCCAGAAAUUCAGUCCUAGAGCUUCAAAAAUGUAAACAUUUUCUGGGGGAGGACCCACAGACCCCCCUAUGAGACUGCCAAUCAAUCACAAAAAGCUUUAUUAUAAUUAUUAGACUUCAGGAAAUUUUUAACAUUGAAAAUCAAAUUUCACGUAAAAUCCUCCGACAUCCCCUCCCCAAACGUCAGAUGCUUCGCUACGUCCCUGAUGGUUGUAUAUCGAAACCGAUUUCAGUUUUAAGACAUCAUUAGUCUGCUCUUCUAAAUGGAUACAUGAAAUCACCUAUGGCUUGUUUUAAAUUUUUUGGCGCCAGGCUUGUGAAGUAAUUUACCCGCCAAAAAGUAGCAUAUCCAAAAACAAGAAAAGCAUAUGAUUUGUAAGAAUGAUAUGUUCUAUGCUCAUGGGAUA